ACUGCUGGCAGCUGCUGUAUUGGGACUCACAGUGAAUCUUGAAGUCCUUGUACUGCCUGUCUUCAAUGGCCACCACAUAAAGAGCAGCCCUGUCUGGGAACAUCAGACCUCCAGGUUUCUAAAGAUGAAGAACACAGAAUGACCGUGUUCAACAUGGACUCAUAAAAAAGGCAGUAGCCCAUCCACUCUGAGAUGAUAAUGUCCACCUGAUCUACCGGCAGCUCCGUCUCUUCCACUUUCCCUUUAAAGAUGGUUAUAACUGGAACACACAGACAAAUAAGGCCAUGGAGAUGCUUGACAGAUCCUUUCUACUCUUUGAAUUUUUAAGUUAUAGACUGUCCCCAACACACCUUCACAGCACGCAUC